AGGACGAACGCUGGCGGUGUGCUUAACACAUGCAAGUGGUGCGACGAACCAGAGCUUGCUCUGGGGCAAAGCCGCGAACGGGUGAGUAACACGUGGGUAAUCUACCCCGAUGACCGGGACAACCCGAGGAAACUCGGGCUAAUACCGGAUGUGGUACGGAGACAUAAGUCUCUUUACUAAAGGUAGCUUCGGCUUCCGCAUUGGGAGGGGCCCGCGGCCCAUUAGCUAGUUGGUGGGGUCAAGGCCUACCAAGGCAACGAUGGGUAGCUGGUCUGAGAGGACGAUCAGCCACACUGGGACUGAGACACGGCCCAGACUCCUACGGGAGGCAGCAGUGGGGAAUCUUGCGCAAUGCGCGAAAGCGUGACGCAGCAACACCGCGUGAGGGAAGACGGCCUUAGGGUUGUAAACCUCUUUCAGAUGGGACGAAGGUGAUGCGGUGAAUAGCCGAUGUCAUUGACAGUACCGUCAGAAGAAGCUCCGGCUAACUACGUG
rnacentral:rRNA from 1 species